AUGUGCUUGCGGAUAAAACACAUUCUUUCUUUGGAAAAGAGAAAGCCAGUAUGUUGUGGUGGCAGAAGGAACAAUGGAACCAAUGAACGGAGGUCAGAGCUGAAGGUUUCUGCUAGAGGCAAGCUAUAUACAGGUAUUUUAAUUUUUUUUUUUUUUUUAUUCAGACACAGAAACUCUGCUCCAGGACCCAGAGCACUGCAUGCGGACGGCUGGCUCUCGUGUGAGAGGGCACGGUUGAGGGAUAAGCAGAAAUCAGCUCUUUUCACAAUUACAGCACGGACCCCCUCAGCUCAUUGUAUUAACCCGUCACCCACCAUGGUGCCGAGGUGGGAGCUUGAGGAGUUCAAGUCCAGCUCCACUAUUACCCGCGGCGUGACCUUGGUUAAGUCCAGUUUACUCCGAGUGUCUCUUCCGUGAAAGGGGAGUCGUGCGGCUUAAAGGAGCACAUGUUUGUGGAAGUGCUUUGUAAGCAGUUAGGCACAGGGCGCGUAUUAGUAUGGAUCUGGCUGGUGGACACCCUCAAGGUCCAGAGAAAGGACCAGGUCCAAGGCUGCCCUUGGCUUGAUCAAGAUUGGAGUUUCAGGCCAAUCACUUGCAACGGCAGGGUUGGCUGACUCAGUUCCAGGAAACAGUGUGGGAAUAAGCCUCAUUAGUCUUCUGCUCCUACAAGCAGCAGCGUUUUUUUCCCCUCUCUCGUUAAAAAUGCAUAAGCAAGCCAUUCACGUGGCCACUUUUCAAAAUGAAAGGGCCAAUAAAGUUAUUAAAAGUAAAUCACAUUUGAUUAAAUUAUUAUCAUUAUGGUGUUUAAAAUAACAUUUGUUCUGUUGACCAAGUUCCAGUCUUACUGCAUCAGUAAAGAAUUUGCCUUCAAAGACCAGAAAAACAACAACAUGGAAAUGAAGCCCAGUGCCCACACUGAAGACUGGAUCUUUGGAUUGUUUUCCACGAGUCCUUGACAGCAAAGCCUGCGCUGCUGGAGCUCAGACCUCCAGACCUCCAGGCAGACAGGCUAAGGACAUGUGGCUUGAGAGACUCCAAGCAUGUGGAGGCAAGGAGGAAGGAGGAGAAAGGAGAUGCUGAUGCUGCUAUCCCGUUGCAAGGUCUGUCUGGUUUCACAGGAGUUUGGCACUUGUCUUUCUUUAAGGACGCAUUUAGCAAGCCGACUUCACAUUGCUAUUUGUCACUCAUUCUGGUCUUCUUAAAUGUAUAAUUUCUUCCCUACAAUAAAAAAGACUUGUUGCUGUUACUUAAAAUAAAG
rnacentral:lncRNA from 1 species